AGUGAACGCUGGCGGUAGGCCUAACACAUGCAAGUCGAACGGCAGCACAGUAAGAGCUUGCUCUUACGGGUGGCGAGUGGCGGACGGGUGAGGAAUACAUCGGAAUCUACUUUUUCGUGGGGGAUAACGUAGGGAAACUUACGCUAAUACCGCAUACGACCUACGGGUGAAAGCAGGGGAUCUUCGGACCUUGCGCGAUUGAUUGAGCCGAUGUCGGAUUAGCUAGUUGGCGGGGUAAAGGCCCACCAAGGCGACGAUCCGUAGCUGGUCUGAGAGGAUGAUCAGCCACACUGGAACUGAGACACGGUCCAGACUCCUACGGGAGGCAGCAGUAGGGAAUAUUGGACAAUGGGCGCAAGCCUGAUCCAGCCAUACCGCGUGGGUGAAGAAGGCCUUCGGGUUGUAAAGCCCUUUUGUUGGGAAAGAAAAGCAGCAGGUUAAUACCCCGCUGUUCUGACGGUACCCAAAGAAUAAGCACCGGCUAACUUCGUG
rnacentral:rRNA from 1 species